rnacentral:rRNA from 1 species
AGUGAACGCUGGCGGUAGGCCUAACACAUGCAAGUCGAACGGCAGCACAGUAAGAGCUCGCUCUUACGGGUGGCGAGUGGCGGACGGGUGAGGAAUACAUCGGAAUCUACUUUUUCGUGGGGGAUAACGUAGGGAAACUUACGCUAAUACCGCAUACGACCUACGGGUGAAAGCAGGGGAUCUUCGGACCUUGCGCGAUUGAAUGAGCCGAUGCCGGACUAGCUAGUUGGCGGGGUAAAGGCCCACCAAGGCGACGAUCCGUAGCUGGUCUGAGAGGAUGAUCAGCCACACUGGAACUGAGACACGGUCCAGACUCCUACGGGAGGCAGCAGUGGGGAAUAUUGGACAAUGGGCGCAAGCCUGAUCCAGCCAUACCGCGUGGGUGAAGAAGGCCUUCGGGUUGUAAAGCCCUUUUGUUGGGAAAGAAAAGCAGCAGGUUAAUACCCCGCUGUUCUGACGGUACCCAAAGAAUAAGCACCGGCUAACUUCGUG